AAAGGAAUAGACGGGUCCCCGCACAAGCAGCGGAGCGUGUGGUUUAAUUCGAUGCUCCGCGAAGAACCUUACCUGGGUUUGACAUAACAGUGGUAGAGAAGUGAAAACGGACCGACCCUUCGGGGAGCUGUUACAGGUGUUGCAUGGCUGUCGUCAGCUCGUGUCGUGAGAUGUUCGGUUAAGUCCGCUAACGAGCGCAACCCGCGCUGUGUGUUACAAGUGUCACACAGUACCGCCGGUAUUAAGUCGGAGGAAGGUGCGGAUGACGUCAAGUCAGCAUGACCUUUAUAUCCAGGGCUACACACACGCUACAAUGGUCAGCACAAUAGGUUGCCAAGCCGCAAGGCGGAGCCAAUCCUCCAAAGCUGGCCUCAGUUCAGAUUGCAGGCUGCAACUCGCCUGCAUGAAGUCGGAGUUGCUAGUAACCGCAGGUCAGCAUACUGCGGUGAAUACGUUCCCGGGGAUUGUACACACCGCCCGU
rnacentral:rRNA from 1 species